rnacentral:rRNA from 1 species
AGUGAACGCUGGCGGCGUGCCUAAUACAUGCAAGUCGAACGGAAUUUAAAAGAGCUUGCUCUUUUAAAUUUAGUGGCGCACGGGUGAGUAAUAUAUAGCUAAUCUGCCCCUUGCUGGAGGACAACAGUUAGAAAUGACUGCUAAUACUCCAUACUCCUUUUUACCAUAAGAUAAAUCGGGAGAGAAUUUCGGCAAGGGAUGAGACUAUAUCGUAUCAGCUAGUCGGUGGGGUAACGGCCUACCGAGGCUAUGACGCGUAACUGGUCUGAGAGGAUGAUCAGUCACAUUGGAACUGAGACACGGUCCAAACUCCUACGGGAGGCAGCAGUAGGGAAUAUUGCGCAAUGGGGGAAACCCUGACGCAGCAACGCCGCGUGGAGGAUGACACUUUUCGGAGCGUAAACUCCUUUUGUUAGGGAAGAAUAAGACGGUA